rnacentral:tRNA from 1 species
CGGGGUGUAGCGCAGAGGUAGCGCAUCGUUUUUGGGAAGCGAGGGUCGCAGGUUCGAUCCCUGCCACCCCGA